rnacentral:lncRNA from 1 species
AAGUGUACGACAACCAAGAAAAUAUUUGCUCAUAAAGCAACCAGACAAUUACCUUAUAUUUACCUCUACGUGGAAGCCAGAUCUGUCAUCCCCCUAACUCUUGAUGACAACGACAGGUUCACACAUCACGCCACGUGUCCUCUACAAAAUGAGCGGCGGUGUCGAUACCCAUCCGAAGGGAUCCCGCAUGGUAGUCUAUGUGCGGAAUACCGGAAUCAGA